UACGAAGGGGGGCUAGCGUUGCUCGGAAUACUGGGGCGUAAAAGCGCACUAGGCGGCGAUUCAAGUUAGAUGUGAAAGGCCUGGGCUCAACCCGGGAACUGCAUUUGAUACUGAAUUGCUAGAGUCCAAGAGAGGGUAGUUGAAUUCCCAGUGUAGAGGUGAAAUUCGUAGAUAUUGGGAAGAACACCAGUGGCGAAGGGCGCUACCUGGCUUGGUAUGACGCUGAGGUGCGAAAGCGUGGGGAGCGAACAGG
rnacentral:rRNA from 1 species